rnacentral:rRNA from 1 species
UACAUAGGAGGCAAGCGUUGUCCGGACUUACUGGGCGUAAAGCGUCCGUAGGUGGUCGUGCAAGUGCCGUGUGAAAGCGCUCGGCUUAACUGAGCGAGGCCAUAGCAGACUGCUCGACUCGAGACCGGGAGAGGUCGGUGGAAUUGCCGGUGUAGUGGUGAAAUGCGUAGAGAUCGGCAGGAACACCCAAGGGGAAGCCAGCUGACUGGCCCGGUACUGACACUCAGGGACGAAAGCGUGGGGAGCGAACCGG